UACGUAGGGUGCGAGCGUUGUCCGGAAUUAUUGGGCGUAAAGAGCUCGUAGGCGGUGUGUCACGUCGGCCGUGAAAACCUGCAGCUUAACUGUGGGCGUGCGGUCGAUACGGGCAUCACUGGAGUUCGGCAGGGGAGACUGGAAUUCCUGGUGUAGCGGUGAAAUGCGCAGAUAUCAGGAGGAACACCGGUGGCGAAGGCGGGUCUCCGGGCCGAUACUGACGCUGAGGAGCGAAAGCGUGGGGAGCAAACAGG
rnacentral:rRNA from 1 species